rnacentral:rRNA from 1 species
UACGGGGGGGGCAAGCGUUGUUCGGAAUUACUGGGCGUAAAGGGCUCGUAGGUGGCCAACUAAGUCAGACGUGAAAUCCCUCAGCUUAACUGGGGAACUGCGUCCGAUACUGGAUGGCUCGAGUUUGGGAGAGGGAUGCGGAAUUCCAGGUGUAGCGGUGAAAUGCGUUGAUAUCGAUAGGAACUCCGGUGGCGAAGGCGGCACACUGGACCACCACUGACGCUGAUGCGCGAAAGCCAGGGGAGCAAACGGG